rnacentral:piRNA from 1 species
CCAUUUUACAGAUGAGAAAAUUGAAGGCCAGA